rnacentral:rRNA from 1 species
ACUGCUCAGUAACACGUGGACAACCUACCCUGAGGAGGGGGAUAACCCCGGGAAACUGGGGAUAAUACCCCAUAGACUAUGGAUGCUGGAAUGCUCUGUAGUUAAAAGGCCCGCCGCCUCAGGAUGGGUCUGCGGCCGAUUAGGUUGUUGUUGGGGUAACGGCCCAACAAGCCUGUAAUCGGUACGGGUUGUGGGAGCAAGAGCCCGGAGAUGGAUUCUGAGACACGAAUCCAGGCCCUACGGGGCGCAGCAGGCGCGAAAACUUUACAAUGCGAGCAAUCGUGAUAAGGGAACUCCGAGUGCCCGUAAAAUCGGGCUGUCCGCCAGUGUAAAUAACUGGUGAAGAAAGGGCCGGGCAAGACCGGUGCCAGCCGCCGCGGUAAUACCGGCGGCUCGAGUGGUGGCCACUAUUACUGGGCUUAAAGCGUUCGUAGCUGGUCUGUUAAGUCUCUGGGGAAAUCUUCCGGCUUAACCGGAAGGCGUCUCAGGGAUACCGACAGACUAGGGACCGGAAGAGGUGAGAGGUACUCCAGGGGUAGGAGUGAAAUCCUGUAAUCCUUGGGGGACCACCUGUGGCGAAGGCGUCUCACCAGGACGGCUCCGACAGUGAGGAACGAAAGCUGGGGGAGCAAACCGGAUUAGAUACCCGGGUAGUCCCAGCUGUAAACGAUGCGCGUUAGGUGUAUCGGUGACCACGAGUCACCGAGGUGCCGAAGAGAAAUCGUGAAACGCGCCGCCUGGGAAGUACGGUCGCAAGGCUGAAACUUAAAGGAAUUGGCGGGGGAGCAC